CUAUACACCUGUAUUUAAAAACCUGAAAGAACUAAAGGGGAGGUAAGUCGUAACAUGGUAAGUGUACCGGAAGUGCACUUGGAAUAAAC
rnacentral:rRNA from 1 species